rnacentral:rRNA from 1 species
UUAAGCGACUAAGCGUACACGGUGGAUGCCCUGGCAGUCAGAGGCGAUGAAGGACGUGCUAAUCUGCGAUAAGCGUCGGUAAGGUGAUAUGAACCGUUAUAACCGGCGAUUUCCGAAUGGGGAAACCCAGUGUGAUUCGUCACACUAUCAUUAACUGAAUCCAUAGGUUAAUGAGGCGAACCGGGGGAACUGAAACAUCUAAGUACCCCGAGGAAAAGAAAUCAACCGAGAUUCCCCCAGUAGCGGCGAGCGAACGGGGAGCAGCCCAGAGCCUGAAUCAGUGUGUGUGUUAGUGGAAGCGUCUGGAAAGGCGCGCGAUACAGGGUGACAGCCCCGUACACAAAAAUGCACAUGCUGUGAGCUCGAUGAGUAGGGCGGGACACGUGGUAUCCUGUCUGAAUAUGGGGGGACCAUCCUCCAAGGCUAAAUACUCCUGACUGACCGAUAGUGAACCAGUACCGUGAGGGAAAGGCGAAAAGAACCCCGGCGAGGGGAGUGAAAAAGAACCUGAAACCGUGUACGUACAAGCAGUGGGAGCCUCUUUAUGGGGUGACUGCGUACCUUUUGUAUAAUGGGUCAGCGACUUAUAUUCUGUAGCAAGGUUAACCGAAUAGGGGAGCCGAAGGGAAACCGAGUCUUAACUGGGCGUUAAGUUGCAGGGUAUAGACCCGAAACCCGGUGAUCUAGCCAUGGGCAGGUUGAAGGUUGGGUAACACUAACUGGAGGACCGAACCGACUAAUGUUGAAAAAUUAGCGGAUGACUUGUGGCUGGGGGUGAAAGGCCAAUCAAACCGGGAGAUAGCUGGUUCUCCCCGAAAGCUAUUUAGGUAGCGCCUCGUGAAUUCAUCUCCGGGGGUAGAGCACUGUUUCGGCAAGGGGGUCAUCCCGACUUACCAACCCGAUGCAAACUGCGAAUACCGGAGAAUGUUAUCACGGGAGACACACGGCGGGUGCUAACGUCCGUCGUGAAGAGGGAAACAACCCAGACCGCCAGCUAAGGUCCCAAAGUCAUGGUUAAGUGGGAAACGAUGUGGGAAGGCCCAGACAGCCAGGAUGUUGGCUUAGAAGCAGCCAUCAUUUAAAGAAAGCGUAAUAGCUCACUGGUCGAGUCGGCCUGCGCGGAAGAUGUAACGGGGCUAAACCAUGCACCGAAGCUGCGGCAGCGACACUAUGUGUUGUUGGGUAGGGGAGCGUUCUGUAAGCCUGCGAAGGUGUACUGUGAGGUAUGCUGGAGGUAUCAGAAGUGCGAAUGCUGACAUAAGUAACGAUAAAGCGGGUGAAAAGCCCGCUCGCCGGAAGACCAAGGGUUCCUGUCCAACGUUAAUCGGGGCAGGGUGAGUCGACCCCUAAGGCGAGGCCGAAAGGCGUAGUCGAUGGGAAACAGGUUAAUAUUCCUGUACUUGGUGUUACUGCGAAGGGGGGACGGAGAAGGCUAUGUUGGCCGGGCGACGGUUGUCCCGGUUUAAGCGUGUAGGCUGGUUUUCCAGGCAAAUCCGGAAAAUCAAGGCUGAGGCGUGAUGACGAGGCACUACGGUGCUGAAGCAACAAAUGCCCUGCUUCCAGGAAAAGCCUCUAAGCAUCAGGUAACAUCAAAUCGUACCCCAAACCGACACAGGUGGUCAGGUAGAGAAUACCAAGGCGCUUGAGAGAACUCGGGUGAAGGAACUAGGCAAAAUGGUGCCGUAACUUCGGGAGAAGGCACGCUGAUAUGUAGGUGAAGUCCCUUGCGGAUGGAGCUGAAAUCAGUCGAAGAUACCAGCUGGCUGCAACUGUUUAUUAAAAACACAGCACUGUGCAAACACGAAAGUGGACGUAUACGGUGUGACGCCUGCCCGGUGCCGGAAGGUUAAUUGAUGGGGUUAGCGCAAGCGAAGCUCUUGAUCGAAGCCCCGGUAAACGGCGGCCGUAACUAUAACGGUCCUAAGGUAGCGAAAUUCCUUGUCGGGUAAGUUCCGACCUGCACGAAUGGCGUAAUGAUGGCCAGGCUGUCUCCACCCGAGACUCAGUGAAAUUGAACUCGCUGUGAAGAUGCAGUGUACCCGCGGCAAGACGGAAAGACCCCGUGAACCUUUACUAUAGCUUGACACUGAACAUUGAGCCUUGAUGUGUAGGAUAGGUGGGAGGCUUUGAAGUGUGGACGCCAGUCUGCAUGGAGCCGACCUUGAAAUACCACCCUUUAAUGUUUGAUGUUCUAACGUUGGCCCCUGAUCGGGGUUGCGGACAGUGUCUGGUGGGUAGUUUGACUGGGGCGGUCUCCUCCUAAAGAGUAACGGAGGAGCACGAAGGUUGGCUAAUCCUGGUCGGACAUCAGGAGGUUAGUGCAAUGGCAUAAGCCAGCUUGACUGCGAGCGUGACGGCGCGAGCAGGUGCGAAAGCAGGUCAUAGUGAUCCGGUGGUUCUGAAUGGAAGGGCCAUCGCUCAACGGAUAAAAGGUACUCCGGGGAUAACAGGCUGAUACCGCCCAAGAGUUCAUAUCGACGGCGGUGUUUGGCACCUCGAUGUCGGCUCAUCACAUCCUGGGGCUGAAGUAGGUCCCAAGGGUAUGGCUGUUCGCCAUUUAAAGUGGUACGCGAGCUGGGUUUAGAACGUCGUGAGACAGUUCGGUCCCUAUCUGCCGUGGGCGCUGGAGAACUGAGGGGGGCUGCUCCUAGUACGAGAGGACCGGAGUGGACGCAUCACUGGUGUUCGGGUUGUCAUGCCAAUGGCACUGCCCGGUAGCUAAAUGCGGAAGAGAUAAGUGCUGAAAGCAUCUAAGCACGAAACUUGCCCCGAGAUGAGUUCUCCCUGACUCCCUGAGAGUCCUGAAGGAACGUUGAAGACGACGACGUUGAUAGGCCGGGUGUGUAAGCGCAGCGAUGCGUUGAGCUAACCGGUACUAAUGAACCGUGAGGCUUAACCUU